rnacentral:rRNA from 1 species
GACGAACGCUGGCGGCGUGCUUAACACAUGCAAGUCGAGCGAUGAAACCCUUCGGGGUGGAUUAGCGGCGGACGGGUGAGUAACACGUGGGCAACCUGCCUUACAGAGGGGGAUAGCCUUCCGAAAGGAAGAUUAAUACCGCAUAAUAUGCAAUUCUCGCAUGAGAGAUGUAUCAAAGGAGAAAUCCGCUAUGAGAUGGGCCCGCGGCGCAUUAGCUAGUUGGAGAGGUAACGGCGCACCAAGGCGACGAUGCGUAGCCGACCUGAGAGGGUGAUCGGCCACAUUGGAACUGAGACACGGUCCAGACUCCUACGGGAGGCAGCAGUGGGGAAUAUUGCACAAUGGGCGAAAGCCUGACGCAGCAACGCCGCGUGCGGGAUGAAGGCUCUCGGGUCGUAAACCGCUUUCAGCAGGGAUGAAACUGACAGUACCUGCAGAAGAAGCGCCGGCUAACUACGUGCCAGCAGCCGCCGUAAGAC